CACAACACUGGGGCAGAUGAGAGCUGAGACGCAGAGCCCUUCUGAGAAGCAGCACAGGCUAGCUGGGAACCAGGAAUUUCCUUGACGAAACAGACCAGAGGGAAGCCUUGGGAUCUUGGGGCAGUGACGAGGAAAACCUCAGGGUUGGAGGAAGGAGGGGCCUAGAGGCUGCUAUUAAAAGAAUAAGGAAAAUGCUCUGUAGAGUUAGUAAAAGAUUAACACAGUUCCCCCCAAUGUCGUAAGAUCCCAGAGCAUUGCCAAAUACCCUUGGCAUCUCGUGGGAUGAAGUAUGAAGAGAGGUGGGAAGUUGGGGGACAGGGGUCAGGAAAAUGAAGAUCCCACAUCUGAAAGGGGCGAAAGGGUUACUGUUUUGUGAAGUUGAACCCAAGCAUUGCAGGCCUGAAGGAAUGGGAAGAGCUAAGGGCCGGGGAGCCAGCCUGCAGCGGAGGGAAGUGUGCACUUACACUGAUUUAUUGCAGGAGCAAGGAAGGCUUGAAAUGUGCUUCUGGCCACAAGACAAGACAGGGAUCGAACUCGGGACCUUGCGCAUUUCAGGUUACAUUUACAGCCCACAUCAUAUUUAAAUGUUGGACAGCACUUCCCUGUGUCUUGCCACCCAUCUGAACCGAUAAAAUCAGAUGAUCCAGGUGAGAGAUGAUCAGAGACCAGGCCCACACUCACCCAGCAAGGUCCAGGCUGGCUCUGCCUGUCUGUCUUCUGCUCCUUGCAGCUCCUCACCCUAUUUGCUAAACUGCAACCCAAAUAGGUUUAAAGCUUCACACAGAACAUGGCUAAGCUCCAAAGGAGUGAGAAGAGAAAACAGGCUCCUAGGCAGUGUGGAAGGCACAUCUCUAGGAUCCAGCAGCAGCAGCAACAGCAGCAGCAACAGCGGACAACCACAUUUUAGCCUCACCACACCUCACCAGGCCUCACAGGGGCCUUUUAUUGUUGGACCUCCAGGAGAAAGACAACCAUCUACCGUCAUUCCAACUGGCUUUUGAUCUGACAAAGACAAAGGGGCAUGUCCUCUGUUGGAGUCACAGGGCCACAUGAAGAUUUUCUCAUGUCUUGGUCAACAGAAGCUAUCCUUUUUUUUUUUUUUUUAAAGGAAUCAUAUACUUUAUUUAUUUAUUUAUUUUUUUUGGUACCAGGGAUCGAACUCCAGUCCUUGAGCUUGUGCAGCAGGCGGCGAAACCACUGAGCUAAAUCCCCGGCCCAUAUACUUUAUUGUUUAUAAUCUUCUCUCUUUUUCUUUUUUUUUUUUUUUUGGUAUGGGGGAUCAAACUCUGGUCCUUGUGCUUGCAAAGUAGGCAGCGAAACCACUGAGCUAAAUCCCUGGCCUAUCCUUUUUUUAAAAAUUAAUUUUGUUGGUACAUUUUAGAUAUACAAUAUAAUGACAUUGAUCAUUGGAAAUUUUCACCUUUACAUAAUCUCUCUUGGUUCUUAUUUUUUCCACAUUACCCUGCCCUCCCUUCAACCUCUCCAUCCCUCCCUAUUUACAAAGACUUUCUUUUCAUUUUUUCAUUUUCUCAUAUUAAUUCCAUUCCUUUUUCUUUCCUCUACUGCUCCCACUUCCCCUUUGCCCCUUUUCUUCCUAUUUCACAUUAUCUAUUAUACCUUUUAGUCCUGAUGUACACUUUCAGUUUCUCACACUAGAGAAACUAUUUGGUAUUUACACAUGUGUGUCCUAUUUAUUUCACUUAAGAGUAUUGCCUCAAUGUGGAUCCAUUUAGCCAUAAAUGUCUCUAAUUUCUCAUUUUUUAUGGCUGAAUAGUACUCCAUUUUAUUUAUAAAAACCACAUUUUCUUUAUCCAGUCUCCAGUUGAUGGGCAAUUGGGCAGCUUCCAAGUUUUAACUAUUACAAACUGUGCUGCUAUGAACAUGGGUGCACAUAUAUCACUGUGGUAUGAUUCUUUUAAUUCUUUGGGGAAGAUCCCCAGCAGGGGAAUAGUGGGGUCAAAUGGGACUUCCAGUCCUAGUUCUGUGAGGUAUCUCCAUACCGAUUUCCACAGUGGUUGCAUCAGUCUACACUUCCACCAGCAGUGGAGCAGGGUUCCUCUUUCCCCACAGCCCCGCCAGCAUUUUUUUUUUUCAUUGAUUUCAUGAUAGCAGCCAUUCUUUCUGGGGUGAGGUGGAAUCUCAGUGUUGUUUUCAUUUGCAUCUCUCAAAUAUCCAGUGAUGUUGAACAUUUUUUCAUAUGUUUAUUUGCUAUUUCUUCUUCUUUGUCAGAGAAAUGUCUAUUCAUUUCAGAUGCCCAUUUUUGUAUUGGGUCUUUAAAUUUGGGAGGUCUGAUUUUUUUUAAGUUCUUUAUAGAUUCUAGAUAGUAGAUCUUUGAGAAACAGCAGGUGAAGAUUUUUUCCCACAUUGUGGGUUGUCUCUUCACACUGUUGGUGGUUUCUCUUGUUGUGCAGAAGCUUUUUAAUAAGAAGAGGUCCCACUUGUUGAUUGUUUGUGCUAGUUCAUGGGCAACUGAGAUUUUGUUCAUAAAAUCUUUUCCUACACCAAUGUCUUCCAAAGUUCUACCUAACCUCUGUUCCAGCUGGUUCAGUGUUUCUGUUUUGAUAUUUAGAUCUUUAAUUCAUUUUGAUUUUAGUUUAGUGCAUGGUGAGAGAUAUAGGUCUAGUUUUAAUGUUUGGCAAGUUGAAACCCAAUUUUUCCAGCACCAUUUAUUAAAGAGGCUAUCUUUCCUCCAGUGAGGGUGUUUGGCUCCUUUGUCAAAGAUGAGGUGGCUGAGUGUGUCUGGAAUUGUUUCUGCAUCUUCUAAUCUGUUCCACUGGUCCUGGCAUCUGUUUCUUUGCCAGUACCAUGCUGUUUUUAUGACAGUAGCUUUACAGUAUAGUUUCAAGUUGGGGGUUGUGGAUACCCCCUGCCAUGUCUCUGUUGCCUAGAAUUGCUUUCGCUAUUCUGGGUCUCUUCUUGUUUCAAAUGAAUUUUUGAAUUGUUUUCUCAAGAUCCAUGAAAUAUGCUGCUGGGAUUUCAAUUGGGACUGCAUUGAAUCUAUAUAGCACUUUUGGAAGUAUGGCCAUUUUUACUAUGUUGAUCCUUCCUACCCAGGAGCAGUGGAUGUCUUCCCGUUUUCUGACAUCGUCUUCAAUCUGUCUUUUCAGAGUGCUAUAGUUUUCCCAGAAGAGAUUUUUGAUUUCUUUUGUUAGGUUGAUUCCUAGGUAUUUCAGUCUCUUGGAUGCUAUUGUGAACAGAAUUGUUUGCCCUAUUUCUCUCUCAGUGAGUCUGUUGUUCACAUACAGAAAAACUAUUGAUUUUUGUGUGCUGACCGUGCAUUCAACUACUUUACUGAAUUUGGUUAGUAAGUCUAGAAGACUUUUGGUGGAGUUCUUGGGGUCUUCUAUAUAGAGUAUCAUGUCAUCUGCAAAUUAUGACAAUUUGACUUCUUCAUUUCCUAUAUUUAUUCCUUUUAUUCCUUUCUCUUGUCUAAUUGUUGUGGCUAAUGUUUCCAAAACUAUAUUGAACAAGAGUGGUGAUGGUGGACAUCCUUGUCUCGUUCCUGAUUUGAGUGCAGAGGAUUUCAGUUUUUGACCAUUUAGUAUGCUAUUGGCUGUUGGUUUUUCAUAGAUGGCUUUUAUCAGAUUGAGGUAAAGACUAUCUAUUCCAAUUUCUU
ensembl:lncRNA